UCCCUGGUGGCUCAGAUGGUAAAAGCAUCUGCCUACAAUGCAGGAGACCCGGGUUCGAUCCCUGGGUUGGGGAA
rfam:TPA: Bos taurus chromosome 8, whole genome shotgun sequence.